rnacentral:tRNA from 1 species
UAUGCUUAAGUAUAGGAUGUAUAAAAGUUUUUGAUACUUUAGGGGAUAGUUUGAAUCUAUUAGGUGUAA